ensembl:snRNA U1 U1 spliceosomal RNA
GUGCUUACCUGGCAGGGGGGACACCACGGUCACGACGGUGGCUUUCCCAGGGCGAGGCUGGUCCAGUGCACUGGGGACCUGCUGAGCCCUGCGAUUUCCCCGCAUCGGGGAAACUCAACUGUGCAGUUUGUGUUGCUGGGGGGCUGCGAGCGCGCUCUCCCGCG